UAGGGUGGGGGGAGGGGUCCUAGAGGCACAGUGAGGUGGCCAGUGUAGCAAAUGGGAGCAAGAUGGAAAGGAGAGCAUGAGGGUAGGUUGAGUCCCAGCGAGAAGCUGGCUUUUUACUCUGCAUGAUGGAAGCCAUGGAAGGCUGUGAGCAGAGGGAGGACAGCAAGCAGGCUCCUUCUGGUAUCUGUGUGGGAUAAGCAGGAAGCCAGGAUACCAGGCAGGAGCCACUAGGGGGGUUCAGGGCCACAGGAGGCUGUGCAUGUACAGAGAGGUGACUGAAUUCGUAAACAUUCAGGGCCAACUGAAUGUGUUGCUCAACUGGACGAAGGUUGAAGAGGAGAGACGUGCGCCUCCUCAGUCCUAUUUUCACCCAUACACCUGAAGGUCAGGUCAGGCCUCCCACAGGGCCCACACUGAUUGUUGCACUCUACGUCUUAAAGGCUUUGGGAAGAGGUCCAACGUGGGAGGGAAAGCAGAACACAAGAAUGUGGGAGCCCUGGAGGGUUGUCAGUGUCAGGGAAGGUGAUAUCCCCAACAGGUGACCUCGAUCAUGGCCACUGGGGGCUUCAGGCACAGGGCCUGAUCAAUGGACAGUAGAGUAUCACCAGGGGUGUUCCCGAUGGAACCAGUAGUCUUGAUCCAGCCUCUGAGUCCCAGCACAUGAGUGCCCACUCCCUCUGCCUCCCCUGCAGGCCUGUGUUAAACCUGCUGCAGGGGAGGCCUGCCAGGUACUCAGGGUCGUGGAUAGCAGCAGGUGGCUCUGAGGCCAGGAAUGGUGAAAUCCGAGGGAGGGACGGGACAGGGCCGGAGAAGCAUGCUGGGGGGCCCUGGAAGGAGAAUUAUCGGCGAAGGGCGGGUGCUCACCGUGCCCCACAUCGCGGACACUGAAUGGUGGGGUGGGGGGGCCCAGGGUGGGCACGGGGCACUACAGAGCGGGUACCGGGUCCAGGACCGGAGGGCGCCGGGCAGACUCCGUCCCCCGCUGCUCCGCGCCUCGCUUUCCUCCACUGGAAAAUGGGCAGGAGCGCGGGCCCGUCUCCAGGACGCAUCGCGUCAACGCCGGGUCUUCUACGCCCUUGGUCGCCGCCGCCGCCGCCGCCUCUGGGAGACAGAGCACCCUUGCGCCCUCAGGGUCUCGGACGCCGCGACAAGCCCCAAGUCCCCUCCGCCCGCGCCCCCUUCGGGGCGGAGCUUGUGCCGGCCCCGCCCCCCAGCCCGAGCGCUCCGGCCGGCGCGCCCCCGGCCCAGCUGCGGCGCGUGACGCGAGGCGCGCGGCUCCGGCGGCCACCGCGGGCGGGCGCAAGCGGCGGCGGCGGCCGACGAGCGGGCGACAUGGCGGCAGCCGGGACGGCGGCGGGGACGGCGGGACCCGAGCCCAUGCCGAGCUACGCGCAGCUGGUGCAGCGCGGCUGGGGCAGCGCGCUGGCGGCGGCGCGGGGCUGCGCGGACUGCGGCUGGGGGCUGGCGCGCCGCGGCCUGGCCGAGCACGCGCACCUGGCGCCGCCCGAGCUGCUGCUGCUGGCGCUCGGCGCGCUCGGCUGGACGGCGCUGCGCUCGGCGGCCACCGCGCGCCUCUUUCGGCCCCUGGCCAAGCGGUGUCGCCUCCAGCCUAGAGAUGCCGCCAAGAUGCCUGAGAGCGCCUGGAAGUUUCUCUUCUACCUGGGUGCCUGGAGCUACAGCGCCUACCUGCUCUUCGGCACCGACUACCCCUUCUUUCACGACCCACCCUCUGUGUUCUACGACUGGACGUCGGGCAUGGCGGUACCACGGGACAUCGCAGCCGCCUACCUGCUGCAGGGAAGCUUUUACGGCCAUUCCAUCUAUGCCACGCUGUACAUGGACGCCUGGCGCAAGGACUCAGUGGUCAUGCUCGUCCACCAUGUGGUCACCCUGGUCCUCAUCGUCUCCUCCUAUGCCUUCCGGUACCACAAUGUGGGCAUCCUCGUGCUCUUCCUGCAUGACAUUAGCGACGUGCAGCUGGAAUUUACCAAGCUCAAUGUCUACUUCAAGUCUCGCGGAGGCUCCCACCACAGGCUCCACGCAUUGGCCUCCGACCUGGGCUGCCUCAGCUUCUGCCUCAGCUGUACAUCGUGGCCUUUGCUGCCAAGGUGCUGACGGGCCAGGUACGUGAACUGAAGGACGUCCGGGAAUACGACGCGGCAGAGGCCCAGAGCCCCAAGGCCAGCAAAGCUGAGAAGCCGCUGAGGAAUGGCCUGGUGAGAGACCAGCGCUUCUGAACUCGACCGCCUUCGCAUCCCUUAGGACCCAGCCCCGCCCGACCACGCGCCCCCCUCCAGGGACCGACUACGCCCCUCCCUCGGGACUCUGGCUC